AUACGGAGGGGGCAAGCGUUGUUCGGAAUUACUGGGCGUAAAGCGCGCGUAGGCGGGCUGGUUAGUUGGGGGUGAAAUCCCAGGGCUUAACCCUGGAACUGCCUUCAAUACUGCCAGUCUAGAGUUCGAGAGAGGUGAGUGGAAUUCCUAGUGUAGAGGUGAAAUUCGUAGAUAUUAGGAAGAACACCAGUGGCGAAGGCGGCUCACUGGCUCGAUACUGACGCUGAGGUGCGAAAGCGUGGGGAGCAAACAGGAUUAGAAACCCUGGUAGUCC
rnacentral:rRNA from 1 species